rnacentral:tRNA from 1 species
GAGGGGUGGCCGAGUGGUCAAAGGCAGCGGACUGUAAAUCCGCCGGCGUUACGCCUACGCAGGUUCGAAUCCUGCCCCCUCC